GACUCUGUAGUGAAGUUCAUGGUGAGUUGCAAGCUCAUUGAUGCAUAUUAAUCGUGUGCCGGAGUCU
rnacentral:tRNA from 1 species